AUACGGAGGGAGCGAGCGUUAAUCGGAAUUACUGGGCGUAAAGCGCGCGUAGGCGGCUUUGUAAGUCGGAUGUGAAAGCCCUGGGCUCAACCCAGGAAUUGCAUUCGAUACUGCAGAACUAGAGUAUGGUAGAGGGAAGUGGAAUUUCCGGUGUAGCGGUGAAAUGCGUAGAUAUAGGAAGGAACACCAGUGGCGAAGGCGACUUCCUGGGCCAAUACUGACGCUGAGGUGCGAAAGCGUGGGGAGCAAACAGGAUUAGAAACCCCGGUAGUCC
rnacentral:rRNA from 1 species